ACGGAAGGCAGCAGUGGGGAAUAUUGCACAAUGGGGGAAACCCUGAUGCAGCAACGCCGCGUGAAGGAAGAAGUAUUUCGGUAUGUAAACUUCUAUCAGCAGGGAAGAAGAAAGUGACGGUACCUGACUAAGAAGAACCGGCUAAAUACGUGCCAGCAGCCGCGGUAAUACGUAUGGUUCAAGCGUUAUCCGGAUUUACUGGGUGUAAAGGGUGAGUAGGCGGUUAUGCAAGUCAUAUGUGAAAUGUCGGGGCUCAACUCCGGCCUGCAUAAGAAACUGUAUAACUAGAGUGCAGGAGAGGCAAGCGGAAUUCCUAGUGUGGCGGUGAAAUGCGUAGAUAUUAGGAAGAACACCGGUGGCGAAGGCGGCUUGCUGGACUGUAACUGACGCUGAGUCACGAAAGCGUGGGGAGCAAACAGGAUUAGAUACCCUGGUA
rnacentral:rRNA from 1 species